GGGGAAUUUUGGACAAUGGGCGCAAGCCUGAUCCAGCAAUGCCGCGUGCAGGAUGAAGGCCUUCGGGUUGUAAACUGCUUUUGUACGGAACGAAAAGCCUCUCUCUAAUACAGGGGGGUGAUGACGGUACCGUAAGAAUAAGCACCGGCUAACUACGUGCCAGCAGCCGCGGUAAUACAGAGGGUGCGAGCGUUAAUCGGAUUUACUGGGCGUAAAGCGUGCGUAGGCGGCUUUUUAAGUCGGAUGUGAAAUCCCCGAGCUUAACUUGGGAAUUGCAUUCGAUACUGGGAAGCUAGAGUGUGGCAGAGGGUAGUGGAAUUCCCGGUGUAGCAGUGAAAUGCGUAGAGAUCGGGAGGAACAUCAGUGGCGAAGGCGACUGCCUGGGCCAACACUGACACUGAGGCACGAAAGCGUGGGGAGCAAACA
rnacentral:rRNA from 1 species